UAACUUGAACUCUAAGUCUGACUAUAUGGAGGAUCUCGCUAAUAGGGGCUAAUAUAUUGGCAAUUGAUUUAUCUUGGAAAUUUAUAUCUCAAGCAGAUAUGCAACAUGUCACCAAUAGAUUCGCGAUUCCUAAGGACUUUGUUGUCAGAUGAUAUGCAGCAUACUGUAAGAUAACACAUAACCUACUGCAAGAUGAUACGUAAUUCCUAAGGACUUGUUGUAAGA
rnacentral:lncRNA from 1 species